rnacentral:rRNA from 1 species
CCUACGGGUGGCAGCAGUGGGGAAUAUUGCACAAUGGGGGAAACCCUGAUGCAGCGACGCCGCGUGAGUGAAGAAGUAUUUCGGUAUGUAAAGCUCUAUCAGCAGGGAAGAUAAUGACGGUACCUGACUAAGAAGCCCCGGCCAACUACGUGCCAGCAGCCGCGGUAAUACGUAGGGAGCAAGCGUUGUUCGGAAUGACUGGGCGUAAAGGGUGCGUAGGCGGUUGUACAAGUUAGAAGUGAAAUACCCAGGGCUUAACUCGGGUGCUGCUUCUAAAACUGUAUGACUUGAGUGCAGUAGAGGUUAGUGGAAUGCCUAGUGUAGCGGUGGAAUGCGUAGAGAUUAGAAGGAACACCAGAGGCGAAGGCAGCUAACUGAACUGCAACUGACGCUGAGGCACGAAAGUGUGGGGAGCAAACAGGAUUAGAUACCCUAGUAGUC